AGUGAACGCUGGCGGUAGGCCUAACACAUGCAAGUCGAACGGCAGCACAGUAAGAGCUUGCUCUUACGGGUGGCGAGUGGCGGACGGGUGAGGAAUACAUCGGAAUCUACUUUUUCGUGGGGGAUAACGUAGGGAAACUUACGCUAAUACCGCAUACGACCUACGGGUGAAAGCAGGGGAUCUUCGGACCUUGCGCGACUGAAUGAGCCGAUGUCGGAUUAGCUAGUUGGCGGGGUAAAGGCCCACCAAGGCGACGAUCCGUAGCUGGUCUGAGAGGAUGAUCAGCCACACUGGAACUGAGACACGGUCCAGACUCCUACGGGAGGCAGCAGUGGGGAAUAUUGGACAAAGGGCGCAAGCCUGAUCCAGCUAUACCGCGUGGGUGAAGAAGGCCUUCGGGUUGUAAAGCCCUUUUGUUGGGAAAGAAAAGCAGCAGGUUAAUACCCCGCUGUUCUGACGGUACCCAAAGAAUAAGCACCGGCUAACUUCGUG
rnacentral:rRNA from 1 species